UGGGAAUAUAUGGGAAGCCAAGAGCUAACAUAAUAUUAAACAUUGAAAAACUGAAUGCUUUUCUCCUAAGAUCAGGAACAAGGCCAGAAUGUCUGCUCUCCUUACUCCUAUUCAACAUUGUACUGAAGCUAGUAUCAAGGUGCAACUAGGAAAAAUAAAUAAGGGACGCCUGAGUGGCUCAGUGGUUGAGCAUCUGCCUUCGGCCCAAGGCAUAGCCCCAGAGUCCCAGGAUCGAGUCCCACAUCGGGCUCCCCUCAAGGAGCCUGCUUCUCCCUCUGCCUGUGUCUCUGCCUCUCUGUGUGUGUCUCUCAUGAAUAAAUAAAAUCAUUUUUUAAAAAAGGAAAAAUAAACAAAAAGGCAUCCAGACUAGAAAGGAAUAAAUAAAACUAUCCUAAAAUUUACUUUCUCUAAUUUCAUAAGCUUAUCAUUCUGGCAUGAUGGAAUUUGGAAAAGUCCCACUCAUUUACUGUGUACUAGGUAAUGCAUCCUGUCCCUAUGUCUACCAUCCAUCUUUUUAACACCAGAAGGAGGACUGCUUGGGACUGUACACAGUCAAGGACUUUCAUUCUGAUGUCAUAGUCUAGGGUUCUGUUCAACCUUCUCUCUCUUCUCUUCUCUCUUCUGUUCUCUUUUCCUCCUCUUCCUCCUGCUCCUUUUCUCUCUCUCUCCACCCCCCACCCCAACCCUUCCUCCAUCACCACCACUCUCUCUUCCCAGGAGACCAGAUAGUUAAGGAAGUCAGUGCCAAGCUCUUGAUUGAAAAUGCUCAUCCAUUUCUCCCCUUUUUCCACACUUCUCUCAUUUCCAAUAAUCCCAGAUUAAUACAUGGUCUCAGAAUAUACUUGGGCCUAAGAGUUCCCACAUCCUGAAAGGGCAGAGGAGAAGAAAAGCUGUAAGCAUGAGAUGAAUAUCAUAUCAAGCUACUUUUUGCUGGCCAAUAUGCUCUCAAUAAAUUGAUGGGGAUAUUUGAGUAUGAUUUCUGGAGGAAGAGUCUCAGAAGAUCAAUCUGCCUUUAUUCUUGGAACACUGCAGAGUUAUCAGUGGCUGGUACAGAUGGUCAAGCAUCCAAGACCCAGGUCCUUGUCAUUUUUUGUUCAAUAUUCCCCUUCCCAAGUACUGUGAUCACCCCACAGAGAAUAAAUAUCCUUACACAAAAUUCAGUUCUAGGUGUCAAGAUGGAUGAUGCUAUAUACACACAGGCAAAAAGAAUAUAAAAAGUUUCAUUGCUUACAUAGUGAGACUCUCUGGGAAGACCAAGAUAGCCUUCUAAAAGGCCAAAAUGAUUGAAAGAGAAAAAUGAAGGACAAGGACAAGCGGGUUGGGGUUUUAUGGUGAUUAUGAGAUGGGACUGGGGUGAGGGCCCCGGCCUGAGGGGUUUUCUCAUAAGCUUGUCCAGAUAUAGGACAGAAAGAGAAAGGGAAGCAGGCUUUAAGAAGUUGUCAGCAGUCAAGUAUCAGAAAUAAAGUCAGACUCUUUACUGCGAUGGCA
rnacentral:lncRNA from 1 species